UGGCACAGUAUGAAGCCGCAUCCGUGAUAAUGUUGUUAAGAUCGCUGUCACCGGCGUUCGGUGGCAUUGUGUUUUCCAUGCCGGUCUCUGUCCUGUUUCUGCAUUUCACAUUUCCCGCUGUAUCGCAGAGCUUACUAUCGGAAUUGAAAAGCAUUGUAGGUGGACAGGAGGCCAAUACAGCAUCACCGUUCUCUACGCACAGAUAAAACAGUUGGCAGUCUUCAGAAUGCUGCAAAAAUUCACCAACCAGGUGAUUCGUACACAAGCUACCGCCAUUCUGUCUUAUGGUCACCGAGUUAGUAGGUUUCCACAGCUUCCAGUUUUUCUGGGCCGAGGCAAUAUAACUGAGCACUAAUAUACUAGUUACUGCUGGAAGUGGAAAAACAGUCAUUAUUGUAAUUUACAUCACAUUAUUGUAUCUACUUGUAUUGAAC
rnacentral:lncRNA from 1 species